AUGGGAUGUGCAUCAUCAAAGCAGUUCAGACGAGCUCCACCGCAUGAGGAUGCGGCUCUUCUGGCCAAAGAGACCACAUUUUCUUUGAAUGAAGUGGAGGCCCUCUACGAGUUGUUCAAAAAGAUUAGCUAUUCUAUAUUCAAGGAUGGGCUUAUUCACAAGGAGGAGUUCCAACUUGCUCUCUUCAGGAACAGCAACCGGAAGAACCUUUUCGCUGAUCGGAUAUUUGAUCUGUUUGAUCUGAAGCGAAAUGGUGUGAUUGAAUUCGAGGAGUUUGUUCGGUCCCUCCACAUUUUUCACCCGGAUACACCCAUGGCAGACAAGAUUGCAUUUGCAUUCAGACUAUAUGACCUGCGAGGCACCGGCAGCAUUGAACGUGAAGAGUUGAAGGAAAUGGUGCUUGCAAUCCUGAAUGAAUCAGACCUACUUCUUUCUGAUGAUGCUGUCGAACAGAUUGUAGAUCAGACAUUCAAGCAGGCAGACCUGAACAGCGACGGGAGGAUAGAUCCCGACGAAUGGAAAGAGUUUGCAAGUAAGAAUCCAGCCUUGCUGAAGAACAUGACUCUCCCGUACCUGAAGGACAUAACCAUGUCAUUCCCCAGCUUUGUUGUCUACUCUGGAGCCGGCGACGAAGAGUUGUAG
rnacentral:rRNA from 1 species